UUAAUUUGGACAUAUUUAUAUCAUACGCAGUGGUAUAUUUCUUAACUUCUGAAACGAAAUUAAAGAUAUUCUUUUAUUUUUCUCAAAAUAUUGCGAAUAAAUAAUAUAUAACCGGAAAGAAAUAAUAUUAUCAUUCGAUCCAAUCAAAAAUUCUAGAAUACCAAACACUCUUUUCUCGAAGAUUCUCGAAGAAGAAAAAAAACUCUCUCCUCGAAUCAAAAAUUCCAAAUCGAAUCGCUGGCACGGAAGAGGAAACUCUCGAGUAGAUUCGAGAGGGAGAUUCCACUCGCGCACGGAUUCGCUUCCCAAAUCAAUCUGCGGGACUAUUAAAAAACACAGGCGGCGGAACGGAGGCAUCAAGGUUCUCUCCUCUAUCCCGAAGGAUUCGCGGUCCACGAAGAGGAGGAAGAGGACGAAGAGGAGCUCGAGAGGCUCGAGACGAGAGCGAGAGAGGGGAAAAAAAAAGGACAGGAGGAGGCGUGGUCGCGGGAUGAUUUAACAUCGACGGGGUCCGUGUCUCUAUUCGGCCGGGCCGCAAAGGAAGAAGACGAUACCGCAGCAACAGCACAAGGGCUAAACAACGGUGCACGCUCGCGCGCGUUUUCGGGGCGGCAGCUUUACAACCGUUUAGUGUUUUACGGCCGUUUUAUGAACGCCGUGCUCUCUUCGGCUCUUUCGUGAAAGAGAGAGAGAGAGAGAGAGAGAGAGCGGAGGAAGAGGAACAGGCGCUCGGUCUCUUUUAGAGACGGUACGAGUUACGUUUUACGGGAUGAUGGUAUACGCGGGAAUCAUGCAUAUCAGACGGAUGUUUUAUCCUCUCGAUAUUUUCGUUCCUUGAACACGUGGAAAACUAUUCGCGAGGAUGGAGGAGAAUCACGUUUGAUGCGUUUUGUGGUCGAAAAGGGAGAUCGAAUAUGGUAGAUGGUUGGAGAAUUUCUGGAGAAGAGUGAAAUUAUUCGAUCGAUGGAUUCUUUCGAGUUGCAAUUCCAUUGAGUGAAAUAUUUAGCGAGGAAUUAUGGAAUGGAUCGGAUCUCGGUUCGUAAUUUUGAUAAUGAUUAAUUUUUGUACAUGCGUGUGUACAAAAUUUUAAUAUACUUCAAUUUGCGUUAUCAGGAACGAUUCGAUGGAACGAUUACGAAUUCUCGUGUUGGAUUUAACGCGAAAAAUAGAAUUUCACGAUCAGAUUUCUGAAUUGCGUUAAAGAAAAGAAGCAAACAGUAUUAAUAAUGAAUUUCGAUUCUCAAUUAAAAAAAAAAAAAAAGAAGAAGAAGAACUCCAUUUAUUGUAUCACAAACGCCCAAAAAGAUUCCCCGACGAAAUCGCGUCGAAAGCAAGGAGAACGCAGCUUAAAUAACAUUCAAGCCCGCGCGUGCGAGUCUUCCAAGCUUCGGCCAAGGAAUUUAGAGACUAGUCUGCGGGUCCGACAACCAAUCAUCCGGACAAGGGCGAGGGAAGGGAGGGGAGGGAGGGGGGAGGGGGCGAAACAGGCCAAGGAACGUAAUCUUACGUAUCAAUUAGCUUCACGGUCCGAGGGGCUUACCCCCCGCGGGCCUUUGACCGUGCGCCGCUUCGUCUUCGAGGUGUGAGAACCGAGACACGGAGCGUACAGUCGUUUUACAACGUCUUCAUCGUCUCUGUCCGGCUCUCCUUCCAACCCUCCUUCGGCCCGUCCUUCUUCCUCCUUCCGCCUGGUGCGCGGCAUGGAGCAUGGAGGGAACGAGGGGGGAGAGAGGGGGACGCAUCUGGACAGGUAAGGGAGAGCCCCCGAAAUCUCUCGAGUUGCGUCGAAACCGAUGGCCCCGAUACUUGACGAGUCAUCCUCCACCACGGUGGGUGGAAGUUUUGGUAGCUAAUGGCCCGGUGUAAUUUAGCCUUAGUUGAUUGGAAUUCAACUGGCCCGUUUGUUCCUAGAUGUACCGGUUGUUAUUACCCUCCCUCCGAGUUGUGAACCGUCGGUUGUUAACGAGGAUCGUUUCGUGUGUUUGCGGCCUGGCUUCGGCGGGAUCAAUUCGAUGGGAUUAAUUUCGAUGGGAGUGUGAGUCGUCGGUGUCGAUAUUGUUUUUCGUGUCGAGGAAUAUUUGGGAGGAAGGAGGGUGGAAGGGACGAACGACGUUCACGGUUUUGUAUUCUUUGCAUUUUUUAAAAUUCCUUUCGAAAAAGAAGAGGCGGAAAGUUGUUUUGAAUUAAUUUUUUAUGCGAAAGAGUUUGAAAUAUUUGGUCCUGAUUUAUCGAUUACUUUAUUUUAUAGUUGUUAAUUCGUAUGCAUUCGAUGUAAGAUUCAAUAUGUAUUUUAUGAGAAAGAAGAAUCAUUGAAAUGGUGAUUUUUUAAUGGGAUGGUGAGUUGUUAGUGUUGAUAUUUUGUUCUAUUUAUUGUAUUUACUUUUGUUAUUAAUUUUUAACUGUUCAGCAAGAUUUGUGAACUUCUGGUACAAAAAUUAUAUUGAAUUAUAUUAAGCUCGAUAUAUUUAAUUUUAUGAUAAAGAAAAGGAAUAGGAAUUAUUCGAGGAAAAAAUUUUUUAAAGAAAAUAAUGUUAUAAUGUUAAAAUAAUGUUUCGAUAAAAUAUAAUGGCCAGAGAUGGAAUAUUUUAAAAAUUAGCGAAACCAACUUGAAAUAAUGAAUUAAUAUUGAAGACUAUUAAUAGACGAAUAGACUCGUGACAAUUACACGAAAGAAAUAUUGAACUCGAAGAUUGAAAAAUAUAAAAGCAACGAAGAGUUGGAGAAAAAAAGGUGACAAGGCUCGAACAAAGCUGGAGAAUCGAUUGAGCAAGAUAUUCAUCCGGUGGCUGGCCACGAUGUUUCCGGGAGUGUUAACAAGUCCCGAUCGUUUUCUUCAGGUCGGAGAGGAUGAGAGCUGGCCUUAUGCGGUCGUCCUCACGCAGUGCCAGGUGUUGACCUUAUAACGUAUUACUUAACACCCACCAAAAGGACCCACGUGUAGCCACGGGGGGGCCUAAUCCAUCCGGCUGAAUCGUAUUCUUCUGCUCUCUCUCUCUCUCUCUCUGUGUUGUAUUUUUUUUAAAAAUAAAACCAUCCAAAGAAGGAAGAAAAAGGGGACGAGCCAUGGAACUGAAUUCCAAACGUUACCAAGCAACUUUAUAAAUUUCACGCCAAGUUUAUGGAACUUUUUAAUAGAAUUUCCGAAGGAACACCGUACCUGUUACAGUUUAGAUUACAAUAUAUACUAUACUUAAUUUAUCUUUAUUAAAAUUUUUUAUGUAAUAUUUUUUUAUUUUUCAAGAUAGAUUCUUUCUUUCGUUUAAAUUUUCUUGUUAUUGUUUUUCAUAUCAAAAUCGGAGAAAAAGAUAGGAGAUUAUUUCAAUUGGGAUAAUUAAUUAAAACUAAAAGAAAGAAAUAACAAAAUUUCAAUUUUCAAAUUGAAUCAAGUUUAAUUUAUAUUUACUCAACGAAUGGAAAAUUUUAACGAAUGAAUGGAAGAUUUAAUUUAUCUUUCUAAAUGAAAAGAAAAUUCAUACAUUUUAAAAUAUCAGACAAGAUAUUUUAACACGGAAGAUUUUCAAAGGGGAGUAGAUCAAGUUAGCGCGCGACGCAAAAGAAUCUGAAUAUCAAAUCCACCACGGUUGGAAUUUGCAUCGCGAGAAUCGAACACCUGACGUAAACUACGCCCCUCAGAUUAGUUCGCGUUUACCGGAGCAAACUGGGCGACUCGUUUUCAUCGAAACCGGUAAUUUUCGUGAGACUUGGCAGACUCGAGGGGCCCAAACGCGUGUGACUACGUAUUAUUCCAAGCCUGGAGCGGUGCGUGCCCUGUCCAUUACUUUUUCGUUUCGCGCAACGUUCAAUUUUCCAAUGGAAAUGGAACGAAGAUUAUCGAGUCCGUUUCAAUAAAACAUUCCACUUCGUUCAUCGCUGUCAAUUUUGAACUGCGACUUUAUACACUGGAGGAAAGAUUCUUGAGAGAUUUCUUCGAUCGGCUCGCAUUUAACCGCGUUAAAUCGUUGGAAAAAAAUUGCGAUCGAAUAGGAACUCUGAUAGAUUACAUCAAUUAUCUCUUUUUUCUUCUCCUUUCUUCUUUCUUUUUUUCCGAAUCGAAAGAAUUCUUCUCUUCGAAGUUUGAAUCGAAAUUAAAAUGUUGUAAUGAGUCAGUUUGUAAUAUAAGUCAAUUGAUUUAAAUUUAUAAGUGGUAUUUACAAAUGUUGAAUGAUCGUAUUUAUACAACGAGUGAAUAAUCGGUGUUAAGAUAUACAUUUAUUCAAUAUGUUUAUUAAUAUUUUAUGUAUGCAUAUACGCAAGUUAUAUAUCUAUACUUUAUAGAACUAGAGUCGGUAUCAGAUUUAUAACGUUCUAUUUCUCCUUUACGUAAGAGGAGCCAGAAUUAUAAUUCCACACAAGAAUUAGAUUUCCAAAAGUUAAAUGAUUUACUCAACGAUAUUUUAAAGUGUGCAAGUGGUUUGCAUUACAGCAAAAAAGAAAAAAAGGAAAAACGAUACUUUAGAAAAUUAACAAAAGUUUAACAAACAAACACCACCAACGUAUUACUUUCAUCCGUCGAAAAAGAUCCAUUUCAAAGGACCGAGGUCCACGCGCAUCGAGAAUCCGCCUCAUUGCUGGGGCCCACAAGGGCUCGAGUUAACGAAUUCAGAUGGGGCACGUUCACACCUCCGGCUGAUUAGGCCGAGCAUAAUUUUCCGUGUCCGACUCGCGGCUGGUCGGGCACAGGGCCGUAGGUCGUUCCAAGCGGACCCCGCGAUCCCCCUCCCCGCUCCACCAUUUUCUCCUCCACGAUCCUUCGCGUUUCACGUGGUGGGGGAACGUGUUUCGCCGGCCUCGCGGUGGGGGGAAAAAGGUGGAGCGGUGGGGACCGGGUGGAAGGGGAAGAAUAGUGGCGUAGAAGGUGUCGGGCAAUACUUUCCAGGUCGUCCGUCGCCGCUUGACGUCUUAAUGCACGUCGAGAAUAAUCUCACCGCCAAUUUAUUACACUCUUUCUCAUUUCUUCCCGGCUCCCCCCUCCCUCCGCCCGACGUGCCAGCCCGCCACCCCUUCUCGGCCGGCCUCACGGCGCACCUACCGGGACCCUUCUCCUUUUGUACCCUCGAGUAGCGGAGCGGCUCGUCCCAUCCUCUUUCAGCCGAACAAAAACCUAGCGCUCGAUCCUCGUCCCCUCGUUUGCCCUUUUUCUCUUUCCUCCGCCACGGCCUUCCCUUUCGUGCCUUUUUCUCCUCUCUUUUUCUCUCUCUAUUUCUGCCUCUCUUUCUCUUUCUCACGCUCGUUUCCACCAAUGCCCGCGGCCAGCCUCGCACCUAAUAGAAUACGUAAUUUGAAUUUUUGAAUUACGCCGCGCGGCCCACUCCGUAGGGGCGGCCAGACUCGAAAAUAGCGAGUCGAACCGAUGAACCAGGCGACAGCAAACGAUGUCCAGAGAUAAAUUUACGAAAUUUAUUUCGCGGAUUUCUCUUUUUUAAUUUUUUUUUUUUUUAAUCUAUGUUUUGAAUUUCGCGUUUUGAAUUUUGCUCUUUCUAAUUCUUCUCUUUCCUUUUCUUUUCUUUUCCUUUUUUUUCUCUUUUCUUUUUCGAGGGAAUUUUUAGGGUUCUUCUUUUAGGUAUGGAUGCGGUGGAUGGAUUCCGGGGAAAUCUGGCCACCGGGAAUAAUCGAUGCUGGGGCAUGGAGUGCCGGGGAGAUUAAUCGAGUUUCAAUUUUGGCGGAACGAGAGUUGGCGAGGUCACGGGUCCAUGGCCUCUUGCAAGAUGACCGAGCAUCUGGAUGUUGGAUCGCAGACAAGAAUUAUAUGAGCAAAUGCCACCCACCUGACAAACACAUGGAUCGUCGUUAGUUUCUACGAAACGGGGAAUACUCAGUUCCAUCAGGCAGUAAUUCAUCGGAUGUCCAAAAAUGGAAUGAUGACCAACCUACUCAACUGAAUAUUUUGAUAAGAAAAUUCUUUAUUUUCUAAUAUUAUAAAAAUUAUUUGUUAAAAAUGUAUUAUUAAAGAAACAAUAAAUACGAUUUUUAAAUAAAA